UACGAAGGUGGCUAGCGUUGUUCGGAUUUACUGGGCGUAAAGCGCGUGUAGGCGGGUCGUUAAGUUGGGGGUGAAAUCCCGAGGCUCAACCUCGGAACUGCCUUCAAAACUGGCGACCUGGAGCAAGAUAGAGGCGAGUGGAAUUCCGAGUGUAGAGGUGAAAUUCGUAGAUAUUCGGAGGAACACAAGUGGCGAAGGCGACUCGCUGGAUCUUUGCUGACGCUGAGACGCGAAAGCGUGGGGAGCAAACAGG
rnacentral:rRNA from 1 species